GCCUUACAGCUGCCCCUGAAAAGCACUUGCUGCCUUCCAUCAAGAGGCAGAACAGAGAGAGAGAGAGAAUUUGGCUCUGUCGUAGUAAUGCAGGGUGAGGGAUGCAGGACAGAGGAGUGUGGCAGAAGCACUAGGAUGAUAAUUUUUGCACAGCUAGAAAUGCAAAAGAUCCUAGUGUGACUUGGAUGCUUGGAUGUAAAUGAAUAUCUUGCAGCAGUUACACAAAACUGAUGCGGUAACAACAACCCAGAGCCUGCUCUGCCAACAGCCCAUCUCCUUCUCCAAAGCUUCACCACCCAUGUGGGCCCUGACCUUUGACGUCUGCAGAUGGACCUCGCGCUCCUCAGCUCACACCUGUUGGUAGCCAGAGCCAACAAGAGUCAGGAGCAGCACCAGAAGAUCUCUUGGGAUAAGGAUGCUUAUGCCACCAAUUGGCUACAGCCACCCAAAGGGCAGAGAUUGGAGGAGGCACUGUGGUGAAUUUUUAAUUUGUUGUGGAUACAGAAGACAAGAGUUGGAACUGCUGUUCUGGAGAAGAUCUGUUAGCCAGAGCCCAACUAGGAACCAGAAGGAACAUCACAGCCUGAGGCCCUACGCUGACAAGGGGAACAAAGCACUUCAUGCUUCUCCAAGCUCUUUCCCGGACUUGGUGUGAAACCCAAGACACCAUUCAUGGGAAAGAGCAGCAGAAAGUGGCAGGUCACACUGCAGAGCAGUGGCAGGUCUUGGUCUCCCAACUCUCCUAGCCUAUUGUUUGCUGUCAGGGCACAGAAGAAGCCUGAAACCACUGUACCAGCCAGGCUUGAGUAUAAUAUUUGAUGCAGUCUUAGAAAACUGAGCCACUGCAAUGUUCUGCUGUGAUUUUUUUGACAUUCUGCCUGUGCUACUGGAAGCACAGUGACAGCAGUCAUCCCCAGCUUCCUGGCUUGUCAUGUUAUGAAGAAAAAUCUUGCAGGCUGCCUUUCACUUGCUUUUCUGCCCUAGCAAGUCUGUGCCCCGGAAGGCAGACAAAUGAGUCUUGUCUCCCAGAUGUGUCCAUGUUUUUCCCAGAGAGCUCACAAGCCCUUCUAUUUCCCUUGUCUCAGUCUCUUCCAAGUAUCUUCCGUAGAUUUUUCAUUGAAACCUCUCCAUCAAAUAAUCUAUUUGUUUUCCCAAUAGUGGAGAAGCAGCUGAAGAACAAGAAAGCUUUAGGACAGGUGCACAGAGAAUCAAUAUGAACACAUAAAUAUCUACAUUGAGAGGAAACAAAACACGUAUGGGUUUGGUUUUGUUUGUUUGUUUUUGGGUUUGUUUGUUUUUGUUUUUGUUUGUCUUGAAAUAAGAAUGAAUAGAUUUAUUUACCACUGGUUUCAAGCUCUCACAAUGGAUUUAUCACCUGAAUUAAAAAUGCUGAAAAACUUCAAAAGAAUGUUUUUAUUGUUUUUGUCUCUAAAUAAAUGCAUAGCUGUGACUAUAACUUCAGCAAUGCCUUUGUAUAAACCCUGAAGAUACACAGCUGCCUGUUCUAGCCCCAAAAUAUUUUGUUUACAGUAGAAUGAAAUUUGUCAUGCAAAGAAAUCUUUACAUUUUUGUUUUGGCAUGUUUAUCAGUUAAAUUAACUUCUGACAAUAAACAUAAUCAUUCAUCUGUGGAAAAUGCCUACAUAAACUAAUGUACGAUAUCUUUAGGAGUAUUUAUAAUAUAUCUCCAGAGUGUUUCCGGGGUUUCUUGCCCCAGUUGAUCUUAUUUUGAGGUAUGCACUGGGGAGAUCUCACCUGGAGUACUGUGUCCAGGUGUGGAGUCUUCAGUGCAGGAGAGACAUGGACCUGUUGGAGUGUGCCCAGAGGAGGGCCACAAAAAUGAUUCAAGGGAUGGAACACCUCUCCUACAUGGACAGGCUGAGAGAGCUUGGGCUGUUCAGCCUGGAAAAGAGAAGGCUCCAGAAAAACCUGAUAGCAGCCUUUACGUAUUUAAAGGGGAGCAACAGGAAAAAAGGGGACAGACUCUUCAGCAGGGUCUGUUGCUACAGGACAAGGGGAAAUGGCUUCAAGAUCAAAGAGGGUAGAUUUAGGUUAGAUAUAAGGAAAAAGUAUUUUACAGUAAGGAUGGUGAGGCACUGGAACAGAUUGCCCAGUGAUAUCGUUGAUGCCCCAUCCCUGGAGACUUUAAAGGCGAGACUGGAUCAGUCUCUGGGCAAUCCGAUCUAGCUGUGCAUGUCCCUGUUCAUUGCAGGGGAGCUGGGCUAGAUGAUUUUAAUGGUCCCUUCCAACUCUAAGGAAUCUAUGAUUCUAUAAUACUUCACAGCUAUGAGAAGUAUUACAAAGGAAGCUAAAAUAGAUAAAGGUAGAAGGAUUCUGAAACAGUAAAAUUUGUGCAUGUACUCUGUAGAAACAGAAGUACAGCUUGAUCAUGCUUUUGGAGGUUGUGUUUCAAGUCUGGAAGUAAUUCCCUUUGGAAUUACAAAUUAUGCCAUGUUUUUACUUCAGGUUACUGAAUGUGGCAUUAUCUUCAUAAUCUGUUGCUAAUCAAAC
rnacentral:lncRNA from 1 species